rnacentral:tRNA from 1 species
GCGCCGGUGGUGUAGUGGCGUAGCAUCCUGCUCGGUGAGCAGGCGUUGCGGGUUUGAGUCCCGCUCUCCGCU